GGCUCAGAACGAACGCUGGCGGCAGGCCUAACACAUGCAAGUCGAACGCCGUAGCAAUACGGAGUGGCAGACGGGUGAGUAACACGUGGGAACGUGCCCUUUGGUUCGGAACAACUCCGGGAAACUGGAGCUAAUACCGGAUACGCCCUAUGGGGGAAAGAUUUAUCGCCGAAGGAUCGGCCCGCGUCUGAUUAGCUAGUUGGCGGGGUAAUGGCCCACCAAGGCGACGAUCAGUAGCUGGUCUGAGAGGAUGAUCAGCCACAUUGGGACUGAGACACGGCCCAAACUCCUACGGGAGGCAGCAGUGGGGAAUAUUGGACAAUGGGCGCAAGCCUGAUCCAGCCAUGCCGCGUGAGUGAUGAAGGCCUUAGGGUUGUAAAGUUCUUUCGCGCGCGACGAUAAUGACGGUAGCGCGAGAAGAAGCCCCGGCUAACUUCGUGCCAGCAGCCGCGGUAAUACGAAGGGGGCUAGCGUUGUUCGGAAUCACUGGGCGUAAAGCGCAUGCAGGCGGAUCGUUUAGUCGGGGGUGAAAUCCCGAGGCUCAACCUCGGAACUGCCUCCGAUACUGGCGAUCUUGAGUCCGGGAGAGGUGAGUGGAACUGCGAGUGUAGAGGUGAAAUUCGUAGAUAUUCGCAAGAACACCAGUGGCGAAGGCGGCUCACUGGCCCGGUACUGACGCUCAGGUGCGAAAGCGUGGGGAGCAAACAGGAUUAGAUACCCUGGUAGUCCACGCCGUAAACGAUGAAUGCUAGCCGUCGGACAGCAUGCUGUUCGGUGGCGCAGCCAACGCAAUAAGCAUUCCGCCUGGGGAGUAC
rnacentral:rRNA from 1 species